CCUACGGGUGGCAGCAGUGAGGAAUAUUGGUCAAUGGGGGAGAUCCUGAACCAGCCAAGCCGCGUGAGGGAAGACGGCCCUAUGUGUUGUAAACCUCUUUUGUCGGAGAACAAAACCCGGGACGUGUCCCGGACUGCGUGUAUCCGUAGAAAAAGCAUCGGCUAACUCCGUGCCAGCAGCCGCGGUAAUACGGAGGAUGCGAGCGUUAUCCGGAUUUAUUGGGUUUAAGGGGAGCGUAGGCCGGUCUUUAAGCCUGACGUGAAAUUUUGUGGCGCAACCAUGAGAGUGCGGCGCGAACUGGAGACCUUGAGUGCGCGGAAGGCAGGCGGAAUUCGUGGUGUAGCGGUGAAAUGCUUAGAUAUCACGAAGAACCCCGAUUGCGAAGGCAGCCUGCCGCAGCGUUACUGACGCUGAAGCUCGAAAGCGCGGGUAUCGAACAGGAUUAGAUACCCCAGUAGUC
rnacentral:rRNA from 1 species